CUUCUAAGGAUAUGCUCAUUGCACAGCUUCAUCACUCAACAAGCACCAAAGAAAAAUGACUGCAAUUCAGACCUCACUUCAAAUUUGUUAAAGAUCUUUUCAUGUUUGCCCUGUGUUAGGACUGUUGAGAAUGUGUCCCCUCCGCAGCAGAUGAGCUUGUGUGAUCUAAGACUGAAAUCAUGAACUAUAGGUUGUCUUCUAGACUGAACAGCUAUGUUACAUGAGAGGGAGAAGAUGAAUUUACCACUGCUGCUUCUACUGGUUUGUUUGCAAGAACCACUGUUUUAGUAGAGAGUGGACAAUGUUUUUAUACACCAGAGAAUCCAGAAAGUCAGACUUCAGAACUUGGCAACCUCCAACCUCCUUUCUGAGCUACAAGUCAUACAUAGUGAAGUAUAAAAAGGAAGUGGUCUGAUCAGAUUGUCAGGUGAGGGAAAGAAUUUGGUCAUCCUUCUCUGACAUUGUAUCAACAGAUCGUAUGAUGCAGAUCAAUUGCAAUUCUUGCCAGGUACUGUGAGCUGGCUUCUGUAUCUUUUCCACCUGAAUUUCAAUCAUGUUGGGUUUUCUUUUGUUUUGGAAGUUUUAGCAGGGCCAGAGCUGCUAAACUACCCAUGGCCAGGAGAAUUUAAGAUGUUAAACAUGUAACUGCAAUAUCAUUGUAAAUCUCUCUAGGACAUGAGGAAAGCUUGUGGUAGCAAGACAGCUAGAGGGGCCUGGCAAGCAGUGCUUUCUAUACCCUGAGUAAAAGUCUUCUAUCCCUUGGCUCUGCACAUAGGUAUAAAGGAAGGGCCAUGGAGAAAAUGAAGGGAAUACAGAAAUUCAUUCCAGUCCUCCUACCUGGCAUGCAUAGAAGUGACCAGUUAUUUUCACAACCACCUGAUCAUUUUCAUCAGGUGUCUGGUCACGAGGGACUACAACUUCUGCACUUGUCAAGUUUUGAAGCUCAUUUACCUGUAAAUAGAUAGCAGGAAUCAGAAAAUCAUAAACGAACAAAUUAUCCACAACAGUCACGCCUCAAAAAUGCCACUGACCACAGAAACAAGUGGUGUUUCAGAAAAGAAGCCCCCUAACAGAAAGCAUCUUUGUGCAGCAGUGUGCACUCUGCAAGAGUCUCUUGUGUCUCUAAAACAAAUUAGCAGCAGCUCCUCUGGGUUUGUAGAAGCGAUUUAAAGACUAAAUACAACACACAGAAGGUGUUAAAUACAUUACUUUAAAAGGCAAUUAGUGGUUACAGUUGAAUUUAUGAGUUUAAGGUCAGAAAACUCAUAAAAUGUGUAGUAUAGGGAAGAAGAAAGUCAAACUAUUUCUACAUUUUUCCUUGAAAAGUGUCCACAAGAUGGAGAGCUCCAGGAAGUGCAGUGAGAAAUGUCCAAAUUAUUUUCAGCAGCCUGUCAGCCUCCAUAGAGGUAAGGUCAAAGCCUCUCCUGUAUAUACUCAUGCUAUUUAAGUAAUGUGUUGCAUUAUUUAAAUCAAAGAUGUUUUAGAUGAGCAGCUUUUCAGAGAUGUCUGUACUUAAACCCCUUACCACAUUGCCUCCGGACACUUAACUUCAAGACCCCACUGCACUCAGGGACAGAAACCCAAAAGCAAACCAUUUCUUUGCAAAUAUCAGCUAGCACCUGAUUUACAGCCACAAAAGUAUUUCAGUAUUAGCAGCAUUUCAAGACUGAAAAUUCUCAAUAAUGUCAUUUUGUGCAACAAACAGCCUGAGAAACACCAUCAGUUAAGAUGAAGCAAAUAAAUUGGAGGUUGGGAGGGCAAAUGAUAGCGAGGUCCAAACAGGUCUUAAUUUCUUACUGCUCAUUUAGAAAUUAUGUUUUUACUCAGUUUUGUCCAGAAAAGCCACCUUUGGAGAUAGGGGAUUUGAUUUUAAUUGAAUGAGAUUCAUACAAACUCUGUGUGCUAUCUGGCAUAACCUGAAGUUCACAGAAGCAGGUCUCUGUGCAUUCUAUAUGGAAGAAUUACAUUUCAAUUAAUAAAAGCCCUGCAGAUCUGACUGGGGCUAUUGAUUUUUGUUAGGCAACUUAAUUUUUUAAUUACAGGAGAGUGGCUUCUCUUGACUCUAUGCUAGAAGGAAGGAAAGAAAGAAAUCUGAGUACAGCUAAGAAAAUAACACCUGCUUUAACGUGACUUCAAAGGAUUAGCUAUUAGUUAGCUAAGGGUUUAAGCCUUUUGUACACACUGGAAUACAAAACAUAGCAACAGUAGAAGCUUUAUUUCAGCUACUUACAGUUUUGCCUCCUUUUCCAAUAACUCUACCAGCAGCAUAGGAUGGCACUUUUAUAUGAGCCUCAAGUUUCACUUCUUCUUUAGGUCCAAAGAAAUUUUCUUCUUUAAGUUUCCCAUAGAUUCUCCCUUGAGCCUGCAAAAACGCUUUUAGUUAGAGAAUACACUUCCAGAAAUCCAGUUAACAGCAAGAAACUCUACAGAAAGAAUUCUCACUUCACAACCUUGACAAAACAUUUUCCCUAAUAAAUACAGUAACCAUUUUUAUACAACAAUUCUUUGUACCCAGAUAGGAAGCACUGCUGUCAAACUUUAAAGAUUGCAUGACAAACCAGGGAAUCACAGAGCAGUUUAACAGAAAUCAUCAUUAUUCUACUGUUCAGUAGAAAUAUUACAUUAAAAAAGACAACCUAUUAGAGCUCUGUAGAGCUAAGAAGUGGUGGAAAGAAGAGCUAUCUGCCUAAGAGUUUUUUAUUACACUCAGAAGCAGAUAACACAAUUUGCUCAGCAACCCAUUCUUUUAAGGAUGCUAAGCAAAACAAGCCACAAUCACCACUUCUCAAAAAAAAACCCCACCCAUAAAAAACACAACCACCAAAACCCAAAUCAUGGGAUAAAGACUCCAGUUAGAGCUAGCAGCUUAGUUUUACAAUCCAUUGCAACACAUGUUAAAAAGUAAUCUGAGCUGGCUCAAUUGUUCAAAGUGAAAAAUCACACUACCUAGAUCUAAAUAACACCAUGGGAACAGUAUUUCUCCGACCAGCACACAGUUCCCUUUUUUAAGGAACAUGUAAGUACCAGGUAGCAAGAAGCAUAUCCACUGAGACUAAGCUCAUAAAUCUUGCUAUUUUAAAACAUGUUUGUUUCCUUUUCCCCUGUCCUUUGUCAGUUAAUUAUUGAGAAAUGUUAACCAGAUCCACUUUGCAACUCUUAAAAGCAUGAGAAGGACAUUUCUUUUGAGACACUGCGGAGGUGCUCUGUAAAGACCAUAACCCUGGUACCACACAGCCUUUGCAGUUCAGAUUCUUUACCGUCUUUUAAAUCACGCUCACCAACCCUACCACUGCGUACAUGCUAGAGCCAACAUCUUACAGGUCACCACUGCAAUGAAAUAUGAGAGAAAAAGUCCAGAAGGUUUUAUGAUGUGAUAAUUAAAUAGUGGCAGUUUUAUCUUAUUUCUAGCUCACCUCCUGAAAACCUACUCAAGGUCUUACUACUCUUGAAUGGAUAAGAAUGUAGGUAUUUUGUGACCUUGAACUUGAGAGCACUCAGCAUUUUGGGUAAGUCAAACUCCACCUGAAGAGCACAGAAUAAUCUAUAGCACAUGGCUCUGACUUGGGUGGGAUACUGUGAUUCAUGGGACUAUGUCCCAGAGGACAAGAGCCAUUGUCUUCGAAUAAGGCAAAAGACUACACAAGCCUUUCAGAAAUUCAGUACAAUUAAUGACACCAUUAACUGCCCUGGAAUCAGAGAUUGCUGCUCCAGCAAAACACUUCAAAAGGGUUUGCCAAGAGCAGCUAGCACACUACUCACAGCUAUCAAGCUGGAGAUUUGCAACUACUUCCAAAUUUGUCAGGGACAGACAGUAGCCAGCCUAGUCCUUUUCAUUUCGACGGCAAUUUUUCAUGAGCAUCACACCAUGAGACAACCUGCCCAGGCUGCAGGGCUCUGUGGAAGAGAUACUUUAAGGAGAAAGCAUUUGUUACUGCUGAAUUAUAAAGCAAGGUGGGAUGCUGAUUUAAGAGACAGCAGUUCUAUUUCCAACAUCCCAAGUAUUUUGGCUCUUAAAAAUAAAGGGGGUGUUCUAGCUGGGCUGCACCUUCUUCACAGUAAAAUACUGACUGAAAUAACUUGAGUAUGUUAGGUUUCACUGAUACCUGUUUCCCAGAUCCAAGGCAACAUCAUCUCUGAAUGUUGGUGUCACAAGUAUGAUUAAACUCUUGGGAGCACUGCAGCAGAGGUUACAAACAGUGGCAUAUUCUUUUCCCAUUGUCUUACCAAUAAAUAGCUCUGCAUACCACAUCCUCAGGCCACUGCAGCUGAGGAAGAAAGGGAUGCAGCCACUGCAACUACCAUGGACAUGAAUCACAACAGUAGAACACAAUGUAGUAGGGAAAGAAUGCCAAACUCACAGGCUCUGGGAUGACACCGCCUCUCCAAGAGCUGGUUACUCAUCUGGGCAGCAGCUAUUCCCACUUCAAGUUGUUGUGCACCCAGACUACAUUCUUGGUGCCUAACAAGCAAUAGUCUAUGCUCAAAGGUGGAAAAAACCCUUCUAAACCAGAACUUCAGGACAGCAUUAAUCUUGGUCCUCUUAGGCAUGUUUCAGAUUAACAAUGGUGAUAAAAGAAAGAACUAAACUCUGCCUCUGCCCAUCUCAGCCAAGAGGGCAUUGCUCAAAGUGUAGUAAAAGACUGAGGACUGGAGCUAAAGGAAGCCCCAAAGGCCCUCUCCUUCACCAGACCAGCAAGCUCAGAAGCAUUGGCUGUGCUAGUGCAAGCAGAAGCCCAAGUGCAGACCAGUGACUGACUGUUGUGGUUUAAAACAAUGUAUGGGGUGCAGAAAACAGAUCAUUUUCUCCUUGCAUGUUCCAGGUUGGGAUAAAGAGCUGGUAAAAGAAUUCUGUGGGAUUUCAAGUCUGAGGAAGCUGAAAACCUGCAGCCUUUGCCUACAUGAGAAGUCAGGACAAGAGAUGUCCAAAUUUGAGGGCAAGUUCACCAAUAUCUCAUGGAAAGAUGGCCAGAAUCUGACCUUAUGCUGAUCCUAGAUCACAAAAGCACCCCGUAUGUGGAGCAUGCCGUGUUCCCACAUGCACACAGAAAACCUCAAGGAGGCAGAGCUUCUAAAUUACACUUUGUCUUCAGUAGCUUCUUAAAUGUGUAUGGUAGCUGGGCAAUAAUCCCAAAGGCAUCUAGAUCACUAUUACUACUGCAAAAUGCCUGCCCUGAUACUUCUUCAAAGCUCCUAAAGGCUUUAAUGAAACUGAUUCUAGAUAUGCCUGAAGUUUGUGCACCUUCGUCUUGCAAGAUGCCCUGGAGCAAAAAUACAAAAGACAGAAACGAGAACAGGCAAGAGAACGAUGCCAGGACAUGAACUCCCAAGUGACUUCCUACCUGCCCUGGGCCUCAGCUGCGAUGAGGCCAGGCUGCUGCACUGAGUUGUUUGCAUCAUUCCUAACGUGGUCAACUCCUCUUGGGGUAACUAGAUUUAUCCCUUGGCACUUAAGGCAGAAGGCCACUCCAGAAGUCAAUUUGAACACAAAUGGGGUAAUCAGGUUGAAUAUCUCCUUGUAGUUGUAGUGGAAAUAGAAUUAGAAAUCCUGCAUUUAUCUACAGAGCUACAAAAAGCUUUUUCCAUUUGGCAUGCAACAGCAACCUGGGAAGACUCAGUUUCUCAUCUUGUCAGCUUUAUCUCAAUUAAACACACUGUUGCAUGUAUGAAGACAGUCUAGAAAGACUGAACUACUGUGCUUGGAGAAAAAAAGGGAAAAUUAGGAAUGUAAUACGGCCACAUUUUCAUUCUAGAUUUGAUUCUAGUUUGUAUGAAACUCCCACCAGUUGUCAGGUGACCAGAAAGUGGCCUCUCGUAGUACUGUAUUAGUCAUACUCAAUAGGAGAUACCUUUAGGGAAAAGGCAAGUAAAAAAAUAGAGUGUUUCCUAAAAUUCUGGAUAAAAUAAUGCUUGGAACCAGUUUUGCUUUCAGUAUUGUCCCUUACAAUCCAAAGGCUACCACAGACAAGUUUUUAAUAUGUUGUACCUUGAACUGAGCUUCUGGAGGUCCAGUGAUGAUAACCAUUCUCAGCUUGGCAUCUGGUCCUUCAGCAGGAGCAAUCUGGAAUGGAUAAACAUAGCUUUUGGUAUCCUGUCUUUUGAAGGACUAGUUUAAAGCCACCUCCUCCCUGUUUCUGUCUCACAUUCUGUUCAAGAGUGAAAAGCUAUUCGUUAUGGCAGCAGCAUUGCACUUCUUCGAUCAUGAUGGGUUUGUUCUCUUAAAAGUGCAUUAAUUAGCUAUAAUGAGAUACAGAGAAAUUGGCUAAACCAUAAGCAAAUUUACUUCUGAAAAUUAAAGACACAGCUACUGAUCCACAUAUGGCUAAAUCCCAGAAGCCAUUUUUAUGUGUCUGAGAGAUUAAGACACAGCCUUCAAAAAGACAAGUAUGGUUAGCAGACAGACAGUCUCAUCUCUAGUCUCAAAUAGUGUUUCUAACAAGUUUUGACCAUUAGCAAAAGUUUAUAUCUCCCCCCAUGAGAACAGAAGAUCACUUUACUGUUGCAACUAAUCCGAUACAAAACAUUCCACUAGGCUGGACAAUGAGUUUGCAGUUUCCAAGGGGUUUUUAUCUACAGAUGUUUAUUUGUAUGACCCAAAUAAAAAUUAAGCCCCACUAGAGCUGAGACAGAGAUGCCUGCAGGGUCUUUAGCAGUUCAUGUCACCACAAAAGUAAGACUUCUGUGGGUGUUGUUCCCAGACUCCAGUGGCAUUAAAUAAUUCAAACUAGCCUCUGACAUUCUGGAUGAAUCUUUUGUUUAUCACAACUGACAUUUCCAUUGUUGCGUCUAGCAUUACAUAGCCGCUGUUGAAUGGGCAAUGUAUUAAACACUACAGGAUUUCAUCUUAGCUGUUGGCACAGGGAUGUUAUUCAUAUUUAACAGCUGUAGCUUAUUUCAGACAAAUUACCAGCCACCAUGCCUCAUUCUCACUCAAGAAUUUUGCUAACAGAAGCUUGUAUAAUUAUUCAUAUUGUGCCCCAAGAUGGGGAAAACACUGCACCCUUGUUAUAUAGUUUGCAUAUUGAUUUUCCAUAUGAUUUCUGCAUUCCAAUUGGCUGCAUCUAAAAAUACACUUUAUAGUAGUACAUUUAUAUGACAUCAUGUUGUAAGGGCAAGCACAGAUUAAAACCAUUCAUUCUUUGGCAUACAAAUAUUUUAAAGGGGCAAAAUCUCAAGGCACAUUUUGGAGUCAGUUGACUGAGCUCAGCCUAACAAUUGCCUUUCAUUCAAAGUGGACAUUGUAGCCUGCCUUUCAACUCACAUUUCCUUGCUGAACACCAACACUUUCAUAGACAUUUCAGGGAAAAUACUUUCCAUCAAGCCUUUGUUACAUCUUACAGGUGUUUAAAUGCUCUGGGGCAUUUCUUGCUUGGCUUUUAUUUUAGUACGUCCUGUUCUCAGCAACUGGAGUAAAGCAUGGCUGAGAGCUGUGUAAGAAACAUGCACCCACUAACAUUUCAGUGUCUGAAGGGACAUCCUAAGGGACCUCUGCGUUAAUGUUGUCUACUUGCACUUGGGAGAAGUUACAUUUGUAACAAAUAGGAUGAAAUAGCAGAUAUGUCAACUUUGAGAAAACAGCUUUUCCAUUUCUAAGCAGGAAACAAUCAGCCUCCUGUUUGCCAAGUCACAAGCUGACAAGUUUGUACACCCAAAACCUGCACCACUCAUCCCAACUCAUUCAGAGACAGGGAAUAUUUAUGACCAAGGAGACACCAGUAGUUCCCAAGACAUCCCAGAACUGUAGUACAGAGUGGGCAGUACACUGUACUGCAGUUCUUUUGCUGAAUAAUUGAGUCUGCAGGAACCCCACAUCAAGUCUUUAUUAGCAAGUAAUGACCUCCAGCGCAGGAAAACUACCUGAGCUCACCAACAGCCCCACACACCUCUAAAGUAACAAGCUGGACAACAGAGCCUCAUGCAGAACCCCUGUGCAUCUGCAGUUUAGUCUUACUUUGAGGCUAAGGAAUUUCACCACAUGGACAAAGCUCAGCUUGAGCACAAGAAAGACGCACAGGGAUGUGUGCUGGUUUGAGGCUAAUUGGAAUAUUUUAAUGAGAGAAAUGAGAUCAUUGGUUGUGAAAAGAAAAUGACAAAGCCUAUGUCAUUUAUUGGUUUGCUGAGAGGGAUAAAAAGCCAAAAUGUCAACAAUUUGUCCCACUCUGAUCUGUGAUGCUGCAUCUAUUCACUUCCUGUUCACUCUAAUAUCUUUCCACUGAUCUUGGCUCACUGAAAACAACAUAAGCUUUGCUGGUUGUUUUGCUUGUCUGUCCAGGAAAGUAGAGGGAGAUAGAGAGAGUGGCUUUGACCUCUUCUGGAAAGUGUUUUCUUUGUGCAAGGAGGAGUUUGGGUUUCUGUAUUGUUUCUGAUUUGUAAAUACUUGUAAAUAUAUUGUGUAUACAUGCUAGUAACUUUUGCCUUGCUGUAAAUAUAGCUUCAUCUUACUUCCAAGCCAUCUGAGCUAGUCUGGCAAAUUUCAGUACUAGUGUGUGUGGGGGGAGAAGUUCCCAACCCACAUCAGAAUCUAAAACAUUUUCAACUGUAACAA